CCUACGGGGGGCAGCAGUGAGGAAUAUUGGUCAAUGGCCGUAAGGCUGAACCAGCCAAGUAGCGUGAGGGAAGACUGCCCUAUGGGUUGUAAACCUCUUUUAUGCGGGGAUAAAGGGGUCCACGUGUGCCUGUUUGCAGGUACCGCAUGAAUAAGGAUCGGCUAAUUCCGUGCCAGCAGCCGCGGUAAUACGGAAGGUCCGGGCGUUAUCCGGAUUUAUUGGGUUUAAAGGGAGCGUAGGCGGGUUGUUAAGUGUGCUGUGAAAAUUUGGGGCUCAACCAUGGAAGUGCGUUGGAAACUGGCAGACUUGAGUACGCGGGAGGUAGGCGGAAUUCGUGGUGUAGCGGUGAAAUGCUUAGAUAUCACGAAGAACCCCGAUUGCGAAGGCAGCCUACCGCAGCGUUACUGACGCUGAAGCUCGAAAGCGUGGGUAUCGAACAGGAUUAGAUACCCCUGUAGUC
rnacentral:rRNA from 1 species